GUCUACAGCCAUACCACCCUGAACACACCUGGUCUGGUCUGACCCUGGAAGCUAAGCAGGUAGGGCCUGCUGUGCAAC
rnacentral:rRNA from 1 species